rnacentral:rRNA from 1 species
UACGUAGGUGGCAAGCGUUGUCCGGAUUUAUUGGGUUUAAAGGGUGCGUAGGCGGCUUAAUAAGUCAGUGGUGAAAGCCGAUCGCUUAACGAUCGAACUGCCAUUGAUACUGCUAGGCUUGAGUAUAGAUGAGGUAGGCGGAAUUGACAGUGUAGCGGUGAAAUGCAUAGAUAUUGUCAAGAACACCAAUUGCGAAGGCAGCUUACUAAGUUAUAACUGACGCUGAGGCACGAAAGUGCGGGGGAUCAAAACAGG